CCUACGGGAGGCUGCAGUGGGGAAUAUUGCGCAAUGGGGGGAACCCUGACGCAGCAACGCCGCGUGAAGGAAGAAGGUCUUCGGAUUGUAAACUUCUUUGAUGAGGGACGAAGUAAGUGACGGUACCUCAAAAACAAGCCACGGCUAACUACGUGCCAGCAGCCGCGGUAAUACGUAGGUGGCGAGCGUUGUCCGGAAUUACUGGGUGUAAAGGGCGUGUAGGCGGGGAUGCAAGUCAGAUGUGAAAUACCGAGGCUUAACCUCGGGGCUGCAUCUGAAACUGUGUUUCUUGAGUGUCGGAGAGGAAAGCGGAAUUCCUGGUGUAGCGGUGAAAUGCGUAGAGAUCAGGAGGAACACCGGUGGCGAAGGCGGCUUUCUGGACGACAACUGACGCUGAGGCGCGAAAGCGUGGGGAGCAAACAGGAUUAGAUACCCCGGUAGUC
rnacentral:rRNA from 1 species